GGAAAAUUAUAGUAGAAUUUGUACAGGUGCUGCAUGGCCGUCGUCAGCUCGUGUCUUGAGAUGGUCGAUUAACUUCUAUAACGGGCGUAACCCUUAUUAGAAUUGCUAAAUAUUUAAUGUAAAAUUUUUUAAGUAUGACAGAGAAAUACUAAAAACUGCCCAUGAGAUAUGGGAGGAAGGUUGGGAGGACGUCUGGUCGUCAUGGACCUAAAUAAACGUGGGCUACAUACGUGCUACAAUGGUAAUUACAAUGAGAAGCGAAAAUGUGAAUUUAAGCAAAAUUCUUUUAAUAAAAAUUAUCUUAGUUCGGAUUGUUUCUGCAACACGGAAACAUGAAGUGGGAAUCGCUAGUAAUCGCGUAUCAGCAUGAUGCGGUG
rnacentral:rRNA from 1 species